rnacentral:tRNA from 1 species
GUCUGGCUGGUUCAGUCGGUAGAGCAUGUGACUCUUGAUCUUGGGGUCAUGAGUUCAAGCCCCAUGUUGGGCA